CAGGACAGGUACAGCACAAGCAGCGACAGUGCGAGCUUUCCCCACACCACCCCGUCCAUAUGCCUCAGCCCUGACCUGGAGGGCACCAUCUCUACA
rnacentral:sRNA from 1 species